rnacentral:rRNA from 1 species
GAUGAACGCUGACAGAAUGCUUAACACAUCAGCAAUUGAUUGGUGGCGGACGGGUGAGUAACGCGUAAAGAACUUACCUCACAGUUAGGGUCAACAUUUGGAAACGAAUGCUAAUACCUAAUACUGUGAGAGAGCUUUGCGUCCCAUUAGCUAGUUGGAGAGGUAACGGCCCACCAAGGCGAUGAUGGGUAGCCGGCCUGAGAGGGUGAUCGGCCACAAGGGGACUCGGGCGCGGCCAUUACUCCUACGGGAGGCAGGAGUGGGGAAUAUUGGGAGAUGGGCCGAAGUCUGAUCCAGGAAUUCUGUGUGCACGAUGAAGUUUUCGGAAUGUAGAGUGCUUUCAGUUUAGAAGCGGUACCAACAGAAGAAGUGACGGCUAAAUACGUGCCAGCAGCCGCGGUAAUAC